rnacentral:rRNA from 1 species
UACGUAGGUGGCGAGCGUUGUCCGGAUUUACUGGGCGUAAAGAGCGCGCAGGCGGCUGGUCAAGUCCGAUGUGAAAGCUCCCGGCUUAACUGGGAAAUUGCAUCGGAAACUGAUCGGCUGGAAGGUGGGAGAGGGUAGCGGAAUUCCCGGUGUAGUGGUGAAAUGCGUAGAUAUCGGGAGGAACACCAGUGGCGAGAGCGGCUACCUGGCCCAUUCUUGACGCUGAGGCGCGAAAGCUAGGGGAGCAAACGGG